rnacentral:misc_RNA from 1 species
UUGUAAACAAACACGAUGGAGGCCAAUCCCAGCCAGGAGCGGCGAGUGAAGACCCUACGACGGGAGCUGGAGGGCUGGCGGGAGGUGCUGUGUGCCCUCCACUCAGUGCUCAUUUGGGAGAAGCACUUCUUCCCGGCCAUCUCCGUCUCUGCUGUCACCUUCCUCUUCCUGAUCAUCUGGUACAUUGAGCCGUCAAUGCUCACACUGCUCUCCAUCCUUGGCAUCAUCAUUACCUUGUGUGACUACUUGGUUCCUCAGGUGGUGCCAUGGGUGGUUGGUGCACACUACUGGACUGGAGCACAUGAGCGAAAAUAUGAGCAGAUCAUCACCUCCAUUGCCUCCCUAUUCUGUCUGGCCUCCUCCAUGUCACAGACGCUCACCUCCAUGAAGGAAUCAAAGCCCAGAACUUACUUUGUGGUGGUGACAGGCAGCCUUCUGUUCUUUGCAUGGAUUGGAAGCAACAUCAACAAUCUCUUCCUCACAUAUCUCAUUGUGGUGUUCCUGGUGCUGCUUCCUGGCCUGAAACACCAAGGCAUCAUCAAGAAGUACUUUUCCACCAUCAUCAAAGCUGUAUCCAGCAUCCUGAAGGGCCCUGCUACAACCAAAGGGGAAGGCAGUGAUGGGGAGUCCAAGAAGAAGGAGUGAGUGUGUCUGUCUGUCUGUCUGUGCUCCAUCAGCUUUGUCAAUCAGACACAGAUAAAGAGUUGGACCUGCUGGUAUUGUGUGUGUGUGUGUGUGUGUGUGUGUGUGUGUGUGUGUGUGUGUGUGUGUGUGUGUGUGUGUUUGUGAGUGUGAGUGUGUAUCUUCUUGAGGCUUUACUUUCAUUGACAAGCAGAUGUGAGGAGUAGGAGGAGUGGUUAAGUUAGCAAGAAACACUGCUGCAUGGUGGAAUGCAGCUCAUAUUUCAUAUAAUGCUCCUAAUGCAACAAAUUUUGCAGUAACUUGGCUUCAGCUCCAUAUUUCUUGCAUUUGCACUGUAUUUUUAACCUGUGGGAAUCAUAUGCAAGAAUGUUAAAGAUAUAUGCUUUUAUUUUAUUCUUUUUAAUUUAUGCUGACCUUAUCUUUCUAUGAUAUGCAAUUGGUAGUAUGCUGUGAACAAAGGCAUGGUAGGAUGUUGAGGCCAUAGGCUGUACGAAGCACCUUUUUAUUUCACUAGCAGGUCAACAUUAGGAGAAGGACACUGAGAGCAACCUUUUGUUCUCCAGUGCCAUUUGUUGAUGUUUCCCGGUGUGCUCUAUUUCUCCCAGUGAGCUUUAAAGUCUUAGGUUUGCAAGGCAUUAUUAGAAAUACAGCAAAGUUGAAAUACAGGUAUAGUUUUCAUGAAAGCAACAUCAUCUCUUGAUUAUGACUUCUAUUACCACAAGCACUGGUCUUCAUCUCUGCAAGGAAGUGACAUGUGCUGUACAGAUAACUGAUUGACUGUUACUGGAUCAGGCAAGCUGGUGUUCAAAGGGAGAACUGAAUCAGGGGUGAGGGUAGGAGUGGUGACACAGCUCUUCCCCUUAAGUUGGUUUUGUCUCAGUGGUCAGUGGCCGUGGCUGUGAAGUCAUCGUAUUGAGAGUAUGUAAGCUUGUCUUUCUCUCUGAUGGCUUGAGGUCUGUUGCCUUCAUUGUAUAUCCAUAAGGGAACAGUUAUUGGGUGGAAAAAAUGUAUCUUGUGUCUUGGCCGGAACAGGAAUAGUCAAGAUAAAAUGUUAGGUUUUUUAUAUGCAUUUUCCUUGCUAAUCUUUGCAAUUGAGGAGUUGAAAUAAUUGGAUGAAAUUUGUAAUUUUCAAUAUUUUUUCUAAGAUUAAGUAAGUUUCAUUGAAUGGUAUUGGUAGCAUAAAAGAAGCAAGUAGCAGGUAUGGUCAGUCACUUGAGUACAUCAGAACAUGUGAAGCACAAAUAUUUUUUGAUAGUGUGUGCUAAAUGAAAGUGGAGUGUAGCUGUGUUUGGUCUGUCAGGGAUGUAUAUUGUCCAGCCAAGAUAUACCCAAAACCAACCUUACCCACUGCAAUUAUGGUAGUUCCUGGAUGUCAACUCUUGGAAGGUUAAGAAGAGGAUAAAGAAAUGGGUCUUCUCAUUUGUGGCAUGUGUUAAGAGCAGUAACUGUCUCCUGUUUAGCUCUGUGGCUUCCAUGUUCAGAGAGGAUUUUGGUGUGUAAAAAGGGCCUCACCAUGCAUCUGUGUUUGCCGAGUGAUUGUGUGUUGCUUCAUGCCUCAGACACGAGGAAAUAGUUUUGUUUUGGUGUCCAGUCUUCAGUGGAUGGAUAACUUUGUCACAGCAAAAGUACCAUCACUCUCUCAAGAAGCAUUCACUGUCAGACAGGCACAGUUGCAUGGUAGUGCCUUAAGGGACCACAUCUGUGAAAGCAGGUUCUCCAUGUUUGUGUCAUAAGAUGUUGUGCUCUCUUGCUUCAUGCCUUUAUUGUCUUAGCCUAACAGUUUGAAUCAUUGUAGGUGUUCCUAGGUCUUGUUAGAGACACUUUAGAUGUAUAGUUUGUAAGCUAUCUUCUGUUGGUACAGUAAUGUGAAGUACACAAAUCAGAUGGCAUUAUGUGCAAAGCAUUUUGGCAGUUCUAUAUUGAUGUAAGCACUGGAGUAGCUGGCUAGAAGUUAUUUGUAUAAUAUGUAUUCUGCAGCAAUGUGAGUGAAGCUAAAGCAACCACUACCUGUGAGGCUCAUCCACUCACACCUGACUCUUGUGAGGCAGUGCAUUAUGGGAGGCAGCCAUGACAGCCAAAACAUUGGCUUAGACUCAAUAGAAAUUAAUGCUCUAAUGUUAUAGAUAACUGUAUAGCUAACACUAAUAAGUGAUCGUAACACCCAAGUAAACAUGGAUUGGUCUUCACCAGUCUUCUAAUGAAUUAGAAUGUACAGUGGAAUGACUUUCAUAAUUGAGACAUCAUUCCAUUCUGGCCAGUUGUUGAAAGGGAUUUGGAGUGCCUAGAUUAACUUAAUCUGAGUUCUUCUCCUUGCUUGUCACAAGAUGAGUAGACAAGUGUGGUGAUUCAGUACAGAGGUACAAAAUGCAUGGUCAUUGAUUGUGUAGAUGUGUGAAUUCAAACUCCAUCCUUGCUGGAGUAGAUUUAUCAAUGAUACAGAACUCAUAUGAGUGAUUUGUAAGCCAGACUUGUAAGAAACAUUCGUGGCCACCACACUUGCCCAUUAAUUGUGUGACAAUGCCUUAACAUUGAAUGAUUCCUAUAAACAAAAUGAUUCAGAAUUCACAAAACUAAAUAGAUGCCUAGUCUUCACUGUGUCCGUGCCAAAAACUGCCCAGCUAACACAAUACAUGAGUGGGGGCAGGCCAGCCAUGUGCAGGGAUGAGCUUCAGGUUGGGUUGUUGUGCUGAUCAGGUCACACAAUAAGUUUAUGAGUCACUGCUAUAGUGUAAAGUUUUUUAUAUAUUAUUUUAGUAGCUUUAUAAGACUAUAGAAUUGUUACCAAGAUAAUAUUCUUUACUUGAAUACUAUACCUAUCUUUGAUGUUGAUAUUACAGUAAACCCGCAGUACAUCAAUCUAUCAACGGGAAAACCACUGACAGUAAAGGCAAAGACUAAGGAAAUACAGCGGUUGGAUUCUUCCUGACCUCGCUCCAAACACACACACACACACAUACCAAACUUUGUUUGGUAUAUGAGAAGAAAGUUCAGUACACCAAAAUGAACCUCAAAUAAUAUUGUUUGGUAAUUCAAUCACUAUAUAAAUCAUACAUUAUAUACUUUAUUUUGAUAUAAACAAAACAACAAAUCUUAUGGAUUGCUACACAUGCAUGUGUGCAGCGGUGGGUGAGUGUGGUGUGCACUCACCACCACCACCUCCACCCUACACUCCCCUUUCCCUUCCCACCCUCACUCACUCCCUGCUGCCGCCACCGCUGACCAAAUGUUCUGCCUCAUUUACCAAAAUAAACCAGAUAGACGGUCAGUGGGCCAAGCUACAUUUGAUGAGUGCUACAUUUGACAUGAUAGUGUUUGAUGUAACGAGGGUUUACUCUGUACUCUAGUAGAUAGUGGAUUUGAUAUAUUUUAUGUCAAUAAUGUGUAUGGAUGUGUGUAUGUUGAAUUUUGAAUCAUUAUUUUAAGUGUGAAAGAGCUCCAGGGAUGUACUAUAAGUCCACCAAGAUUUAGGCAUCAGUAAGACUGGCUGCUGGUCUUGUUUAAGUAAGCAGAUGCCAGAUGGCUGCUUUGUAUGUGGCAGUGUAGUUUUUGUACUCCUGCUGCCAGUACUGCUUUCCCAGAGUAUCGUAUUUAUGUCAUUGUUUUAUUAUUAGGUAAGCUGCUUGGUGUGUGUGUGUGUGUGUGUGUGUGUGUGUGUGUGUGUGUGUGUGCGUGUGUGUGUAUAAGCAGCUUUACAUGGAUCUAUUUCCUUAUUACGCUGUGAUGGAAGUCUUUCUCCCAACCUUAAAUGUUACUGUUAUAUUCUUGCCUUUUGUGUAGAAUUAUUACUUGAUUUCCCGGUGUCCUGUUGUACAAAUUGUAUGUAGGAACGCCUUAGGCCGGUUUAUUUGUAAGAUGUGAGGACACAAGAUGUGUUCUUCCUCUCGUAUCAGCAAAUUUGUUGUUGUGUUCAGUUCCUGAGACUUAAAUCUGCUUACUGUGUGCCUUAAUUUAAUUUUCGUCAGUAUGCUAUGUUUAUUAAACCACCUGAAAGCUUUUGUUCACUAUUGAUUUACUGGUAAUGAUGGCAGGUCAGAGUGAAAGAGGUAGAAAAGGACAUUUCAAAAUUUAAUUCCCUGGUGAAAGGUGCAGAAGUGCUGAGAAUGUGGCUUCAGGCUCAUCCUCCUUUGUUCAUUUGCGUACCUUGCUGAUGCCAUGAGCUGUAUGUAUGUCUUUCUGACACUUGGAGAGGCAGCUUGUGUGUCUCUGGAGUGUGAGGUGUGCAGGCAGCUUGUGUGCUCACUUUGAACAAGAAACGAAAACCACUGUGAUCUAAAGUAACUGAAAAAAAAAAAAAAAAUGGAUAGGGCAGACCAGCCAGCCAUUUUUGCUUGUGUCCCUUACAUGUAUAACUUUUUUUAAGACUUUGUAUAUUGCUAUGAUACAACUUAUCCUUGUGAGAAAGAAAGAGGUGUUGCUACAGUUUGUUUUCUGUGAUGGUGCAGUGACCAUCUUUGUUAGUGGCUGUCUGUGUGGCUUCAUGAAACCAUGUGGACACUUUUCAGCACAUGUCCUCAUCCUAACACCAGUAGCAGUGUCCACCACACCACCACACCUCCUUUCCUCUAGCUUCAAUCACCACUCCUAUGUGAUGCAUUAGAUGACUACAGGGGACAUACUAUUGUAGUAGAUCUUAAGGAGUAAGCACUGUCACCCAUUCCACUAAUAUACUUACCUUUGAAAAUUCAGGGCUUCAUUUAUCUGGUGAAAAUUAUUUAAAAAUUUAUCCUUUAUAAUUAUAUGACUAGGCAUCCUCUGGUGUAUUUAUAUUGUAUGCCACGUUUGUCUGUACCACGCUGUAUGAUUGUAUCUUUGUAGAAGACACAUUGACUCAUGCAUUGAUGUUAUUGAUGUAGAUUUAUGUUAUAUUUGAGUAAACAAAAACAAGAGGUGGAGGAAAGAUAGUGUCUGAAGAGGUGAGGUGAAAAUGUGGAUUAGUAACAUCAUCAUAGUGGAUAAAAAUGAUAAAUGAGCAGGAAGACAGUAGGAGAGACAACUCAGACAGAAGCAGAGGAAAAAUUACUAUUUCCCUGUACUGUAUUCCAUCAAGUGAUAGUCUCUGAGGAAAACCUGUAUGUACUUGAAACAUGAGGAAGUGACAGUACUGAAGUCUUGGGUGUGCUAUCCUGCUUCCCUCCCUCACCAAAGGUCAUUACAUAAAAGGAAACAAUCUCAGGUCACAACUAUAUGCACUAUAAAUCUGUUUAAUCCUCGCAUUGAAGGCUUUAUAUACCCAGUGUGUUGUAUCCCCAGUAAAUCUGCUAACAUCUAAACUCUUAUCGUUUCCAUCAAAGUUUAGGAACAUCCAAUUGAAUUCCCAAUCUUAACUAUCUCAAAAUGUAUGUAUUAUAUUACUGUCUGUCCUACCUUGGGAUUAUUGAGUGUUAUAUCCCAAAUCUGCCCACUACAUCACAUGCAGUCUUAUACAUUGGAAAUUCAGCCUCAAUGCCACAUGGUCACUAUAGCAAAACCAAAAUGUACUGACCCAUAAGGUGAGACCGAUAACCCUUACGACACUGCCAUAUAUCACUCUUUACUUUAAGGAAAACAGAGUAACAGUUCUUUGUUAAAUGAAGAACUGUUACUCUUUUCUUUGAAGUAAUGAGUGAUACAUGACAGUGUCGUAAGGAUUAUUGGUCUCACCUUAUUGGUCAACACAUUUUGGUUUUGCUAUAGUCAGCUUGGUGGUCCAGGGCAAGGCAGUGCAUGAAGGGCCACACCUCCCAGGCCAGACUACUGUUCCUCCACCCAUAUGCUAUGCUGUUUUUGGCUGUGGCGGUGAGAAAGUGUCCAUAUUUUGCUAGUCAGUUCUUCACAGGGAGCUCUGUUCAUGAAGUAUAUAUAUAUUUACAUCUUUUUGUAGUAAGGCAGUGGGGACAAAAGUAUCUAUAUAUAUAUAUUUGCAUCAUGUAUAUACUAUUGCUAUUUUAUUUUUCCUCUUUUUUUUCACUAGUAGCUCAGUGUAUUUUUCCUCCCCAUGUGCAUUGUGUGGGCGUGAUGGUCAUGUAAUAAAUAAAUGCAUGCACUUCUGAGGGUAA